rnacentral:rRNA from 1 species
GACGUAGGGCGCGAGCGUUGUCCGGAUUUAUUGGGCGUAAAGAGCUCGUAGGCGGCUUGUCGCGUCGUUCGUGAAAACCUGGGGCUCAACCCCAGGCUUGCGGUCGAUACGGGCAGGCCGGAGUUCGGUAGGGGAGACUGGAAUUCCUGGUGUAGCGGUGAAGUGCGCAGAUAUCAGGAGGAACACCGGUGGCGAAGGCGGGUCUCUGGGCCGAUACUGACGCUGAGGAGCGAAAGCGUGGGGAGCGAACAGG